rnacentral:lncRNA from 1 species
GGUUCGGAGGUAUGGUGUUCUUCAUAGUAUUGGCGUCGAACCCACUGUUUGAAUUUGGAAGGAGACCAUUAGAGGCUCCAAUUCUCUUUAUGAUUUUUCUUUGCCUUUUUUUCUUUUUUGUUUUUCCAACUUCCGGUUUAGGGCUUUUUUUUAUUUUUACUGAGUACUAGGGGUUUGGGUUGUAGGGGCUUUGGGUAUGGUUAUUGAAGGGUGCACAAUGAUGUUGAUGGGGUUAUGUUUAGGUUGCUUAAUGGUGGUGAUGGUGUUGAGACUCAAGGAUGGAUUUUGAGGUUUUUAAAAAAAUAAUGGGGAAGAAAAAAUUGUGGAAAGAAACAAUGGGGAAGAAGAUCGGAGACGGCAAUGAUAAUGGUGAAUAAUAGAAAGAAAUAGUAGGGAAGAAGAAAAU